rnacentral:rRNA from 1 species
GUACGGGGGGGGCAAGCUUGUUCGGAAUUACUGGGCGUAAAGGGCUCGUAGGCGGCCAACUAAGUCAGACGUGAAAUCCCUCGGCUUAACCGGGGAACUGCAUCUGAUACUGGAUGGCUUGAGAUUGGGAGAGGGAUGCGGAAUUCCAGGUGUAGCGGUGAAAUGCGUAGAUAUAUGGAGGAAUACCGGUGGCGAAGGCGGCCUCCUGGCUCGACACUGACGCUGAGGUGCGAAAGCGUGGGGGAGUCAAACAGGA